GGGGAAGCAUAUACUGCAGUCGAGCGAGCUUGCCUAGAUGAUUUUAGUGCUUGCACUAAAUGAAACUAGAUACAAGCGAGCGGCGGACGGGUGAGUAACACGUGGGUAACCUGCCCAAGAGACUGGGAUAACACCUGGAAACAGAUGCUAAUACCGGAUAACAACACUAGACGCAUGUCUAGAGUUUGAAAGAUGGUUCUGCUAUCACUCUUGGAUGGACCUGCGGUGCAUUAGCUAGUUGGUAAGGUAACGGCUUACCAAGGCAAUGAUGCAUAGCCGAGUUGAGAGACUGAUCGGCCACAUUGGGACUGAGACACGGCCCAAACUCCUACGGGAGGCAGCAGUAGGGAAUCUUCCACAAUGGACGAAAGUCUGAUGGAGCAACGCCGCGUGAGUGAAGAAGGGUUUCGGCUCGUAAAGCUCUGUUGGUAGUGAAGAAAGAUAGAGGUAGUAACUGGCCUUUAUUUGACGGUAAUUACUUAGAAAGUCACGGCUAACUACGUGCCAGCAGCCGCGGUAAUACGUAGGUGGCAAGCGUUGUCCGGAUUUAUUGGGCGUAAAGCGAGUGCAGGCGGUUCAAUAAGUCUGAUGUGAAAGCCUUCGGCUCAACCGGAGAACUGCAUCAGAAACUGUUGAACUUGAGUGCAGAAGAGGAGAGUGGAACUCCAUGUGUAGCGGUGGAAUGCGUAGAUAUAUGGAAGAACACCAGUGGCGAAGGCGGCUCUCUGGUCUGCAACUGACGCUGAGGCUCGAAAGCAUGGGUAGCGAACAGGAUUAAAUACCCUGGUAGUCCAUGCCGU
rnacentral:rRNA from 1 species